ACGUCUACCAAACCCCUAACAAAAUUGGAAUCGCACAUCCUGAUUCGAAUGCGUAGAGAAGUUCACACAAGUCCAAACUUCCACUCUCCCACUAUUGAACCAUUUCUAUAAAACCAAAUUUUCACAAAAUAAUUUAGUGUGAAUAAAUAAAAGCUCCUCAUUCAGAAGACAGAGUGAAUUCAGCUGAACACCAAGCACAUACAUUCCAAAUACCUAAAUGAAUUUCAAAUAAAAAGCUCUUCAAAGAUGAAAAAGUAUAAAACUACAUACAAAUUGCAGCAUGCUAAAAUGAUUAAAUAUAUAUAUAUAUAUUGUUUCUGCGAUAAUCAAAAACUAUACAAUCAACACAAUGCAGUUAAGAUUAAUUGCAAGAUCCAUAGAUAACAAAGACACUUCCACACUAAGAAUUCAUACCCAAUUAUUCAAUAAGCAUAGUCUACUUCAAUUCUUUCAACUUCAGCACCGUACAAGCAAAAUGACAACUUCAUUGAUAAGCUUAAUCAUCUCUAUCAACACUAGUAAUCACCAGCUAAUCCAAACCCCACCACGCAAUUGCCUUAGCAACAUUCGUGGGCUCCCAAAAGGUCAGGUGGUGAAAGUGCCAACGACUUCUUCACAUUGCAAAUCUUUAUAUUUCCAAUCAAUCCAACCUAAUUAACAAACAUUCCAAAUUCCUAAUAACACAGGUGCUAUUUAAUAAAUCCAAAUAAUUACCUGCAAAAGCGAGUAUAGGUAUCAUCCAGGAUCAUAACUGUGUCCGUAAAAAUUACUUGUCUCGUCAGCAGACCAACACUCCUCCAAAUUAGGGCACUUGCCCUCUUCACAAAAUGUGUGAAGCAUCGACCUGCCCAAUUUUUUUCUACAUUUGAUUGUAAUUAUCGCCUCUGGGAAUCGAUGCCUUCAUCCAUUUGGCCUUUGCCAGAGGCUUCUUUCGAUUAUCACCUUAGCUUCAUAAAUUCAUCAAAUUUACUUUAACACAACAGUCAUCGUGCAAUUUCAUAUGUGAGUCACCGAUUUUGUCACAUCCAGAUUUACCUUUUAUUAAUCGACUUCCCCGGUAUUCUUUAACAAAAACAUGGCUAUCUUCGAAGCGUUCAAUUGGCCACUUUUAAAUCCAAUGGUUACAUUGAAUGAAGACAAAAGGCGUUGUAAGACAGGGGUGGCUUUAAGUAUAGGUGAACAAGACAGUCGUUUAAGACCUCAUAUUUUAAUAAGGUCUCAUUUUUUGAGUAUUUUUUUAAUAAUUUUUUAAUUAAUAAAAUUUUUUAAUACGUAUUUUAAGAAAUUAAGAGUUAUUUUUGAUAAAAAAAUCUAUUUUUGGAAACCUUAAUUUGAAAGAAAUAUAAUUAAUAAUAUUAAUUAACCAUUAGUUGAUUCAUUAUUAUUAUUUCCAAAAAAUUAUUUACCUUUUUAAUUAUUCAAUAUUAGAAUCUUUGAUUUUUAGUAUUUCUUUUAAUUUCUAUUAAAAACAUUAUAAUCUCAAGAAUUAAUAAAUGAAAAAAAUUUCUUGUUCUUUUCUCUACAAAGAAAAUUAUUAUAUUCAUUGGUUCAUGUAAAAUAAUUAAUUACAAAAUAAAUAAUAUUACCAUACCAUUCUCUUGCUAUUUCACGUCUACCAACCCCUAACAGAAUUGGAAUCGCGCAUCCUGAUUCGAAUGCGUAGAGAAGUUCACACAAGUCCAAACUUCCACUCUCCCACUAUUGAACCAUUUCUAUAAAACCAAAAUUUCACAAAAUAAUUUAGUGUGAAUAAAUAAAAGCUCCUCACUCAGAAGACAGAGUGAAUUCAGCUGAACACCAAGUACAUACAUUCCAAAUACCUAAAUGAAUUUCAAAUAAAAAGCUCUUCAAAGAUGAAAAAGUAUAUAACUACAUACAAAUUUCAGCAUGCUAAAAUGAUUAAAAAAUAUAUAUAUUGUUUAUGCAAUAAUCAGAAACUAUACGAUCAACACAAUGCAGUCAAGAUUAAUUUCAAUAUCCAUAGAUAACAAAGACACUUUCAUACUAAGAAUUCAUACCCAAUUAUUCAAUAAGCAUAGUCUACUUCAAUUCUUUCAACUUCAGCACCGUACAAGCAAAAUGACAACUUCAUUGAUAAGCUUAAUCAUCUCUAUCAACACUAGUAAUCACCAGCUAAUCCAAACCCCACCACGCAAUUGCCUUAGCAACAUUCGUGGGCUCCCAAAAGGUCAGGUGGUGAAAGUGCGAACGACUUCUUCACAUUGCAAAUCCUUAUAUUUCCAAUCAAUCCAACCUAAUUAACAAACAUUCCAAAUUCCUAAUAACACAGGUGCUAUUUAAUAAAUCCAAAUAAUUACCUGCAACAAUGAGUAUAGGUAUCAUCCAGGAUCAUAACAGUGUCCGUAAAAAUUGCCUGUCUCGUCGGCAGACCAACACUCCUCCAAAUUAGGGCACUUGCCCUCUUCACAAAAUGUGUGAAGCAUCGACCUGCCCAAUUUUUUUCUACAUCUGAU
rnacentral:lncRNA from 1 species